rnacentral:snRNA from 1 species
UUUCUCUACGAAAAAGUG